UACAUGGGGUGCAAACGUUGCUCGGAAUUAUUGGGCGUAAAGCGCACGUAGGUGGUCUGUUAUGUCAGAUGUGAAAGCCCUCGGCUUAACUGAGGAAGUGCACCUGAAACUGGCAGGCUUGAGUACGAAAGGAGGGUCGCGGAAUUCCCGGUGUAGAGGUGAAAUUCGUAGAUAUCGGGAGGAACACCGGUGGCGAAGGCGGCG
rnacentral:rRNA from 1 species